CCCUUAGAUGUUCGGGGCCGCACGCGCGCUACACUGAAGGAAUCAGCGUGCCGUCGUCCUGGCCCGGAAGGGCCGGGCAACCCGUUGAACCUCCUUCGUGCUAGGGAUCGGGGCUUGCAAUUCUUGCCCGUGAACGAGGAAUUCCCAGUAAGCGCGAGUCAUCAGCUCGUGUUGAUUACGUCCCUGCCCUUUGUACACACCGCCCGUCGCUACUACUGAUUGGAUGUUUAAGCGAGGUUCUCGAACUGCUAGCGACUUAGCUUCGGUGAGGUCGCAGUGUGGGAAGUGAACCUAGCUUUGGUGUCUAGAGGAAGUAAAAGUCGUAACA
rnacentral:rRNA from 1 species